rnacentral:rRNA from 1 species
AGGACGAACGCUUGCGGCGUGCCUAAGAAAUGCAAGUCGAGCGAAGUCCAGGGUGCUGCACCCGAAGACUUAGCGGCGAACGGUCGCGUAACACGUAAGCAACCUGCCCUAAAGACGGGGAUAGCCCACCGAAAGGUGGAUUAAUACCGGAUGUGAAUACUUAUUCGCAUGUAUGAGUGUUUAAAGCAGCGAUGCGCUUUAGGAUGGGCUUGCGGCCUAUCAGUUAGUUGGUGUGGUAACGGCUCACCAAGACGACGACGGGUAGCCGGUCUGAGAGGAUGACCGGCCGGAUCGGGACUGAGAUACGGCCCGGACUCCUACGGGGGGCAGCAAUUAGGAAUCUUGCGCAAUGGGCGAAAGCCUGACGCAGCGAACCGCCGCGUGACUGAUGAAGUCCUUCGGGAUGUAAAAGUCUUUUCUCGGUGAAGAAGGAUGUGACUGUAGCCGAGGAAUAAGCUCCGGCUAACUACGUGCCAGCAGCCGC